rnacentral:lncRNA from 1 species
GCCGUAAUGUAGUAAAGCUCAUUAAAAACCCCCAAGCUAAAAUGCUAAUAGAAAGGACACCUAUUUCUUUUUUGCUUUUAGUGUCUGUUGCUGUCUGAUGUUAUACUAGAACACAGGCCUGGGAGUUAACUCAGUGAUAUUGAGAAUGACAUGGUGAUUGACAUAUGCAAAGAAAAGAUGUGGUAGAGUUGCUUCAAGGAUUUUACUGUUCUUUGUUGUUUUUACCCCAUGCUUUUGGAUAAGUCUUUUAUUUAAUGUUUGCCCGUAUACGAUUGCUGUUGCAAAUCAACAUUUCUUCUUUGCAGGAAGUUCAUGCUGGUUUUAAAACAUUUCAAGCAACAGAAUUUAUUUUAUGAGCUAACAUGACCAAACAUGUAGUACAUAGGCAUAUGUUUUCCCAUCCUUGCUCUGGGGAUAUCUUCAUUUCCUAUUUUCUGUAUUUUUUUUCUCCUAUAUCUUGUUUUCUUUUGCCCUUUAGGAAAAAAAAAAAAAUGUCCUUAUCAGUAUAUCUCUUGCCUUCUUCCCUCUUUUUCUCUAAAUUGACCUUUCUGUCUUCCCCUCACUCAUCCCAGGGUAUAUCUGCCCAUGCCUCAAGACAAAGGGUUAUCUUGACCCUCAUAGUAUAACAGUGGUGUUAAUUUGUACCUUCCACCAUUUUUCCUGCCAGUAAAGAAAAGCUAAUCCAGUCUUCAUGGCUUACUGCAAAUGGGCACAGUUAGAAAUGAAUUACAUGUAAGACAAAUUUAUUUAACUUAGUUCUUCUUGAAAUUCAUAAAAAUACCUCAAGAAAACGGAAGUGUAACAACUAAGAUUCAAAUGACAAUGAUUUAAUAAGUAAAUGGAGUUGUGCUAACCCUGGGUGAAGGAUUAUCAUCUUCUCAUCUGAGAAUAAUACAGAGGAUAGUGAACAUGGUUCUCCAGGCAGUGAGACCUUCUGCAUACUGGGGGUCCUCCUAACCACAAAGAAUAUACAACAGUAGAGCAGUACGCAUCUUUUUUUUUCCCCUCUAUAAAAUUCACUCAGUUUCCGUAAAAGGGUACUUUUCAUUCAUUAUUUAUAUUAGAAUAAACAAACUGCAGGUGUAGUUCGAAGAAAACUUUUUUUCCUUAGGCGAUGUUUUUUCUGCUUUCCUUAAUCUUAGAUAUUUAUCCGGUGCUAGGCUGUGCCAUAUCGAGCAUGACUUUCAUCCUCUGGAUCUACAGACAUCAAGAGAGAUAGGAGGAUCCCCUUCCACGUCUGCAGCUUAUGGGGGAGGAAGAAGAGACAGCGAAAAGGAAGCAAUGAUGAAGAACUCAAGCAUGUGUUCCUUCAGACAUCUUUACAACUAAACAUCACUUAUUUAUCACUUCAUAAGGUUUGUGCUUUGGAUUGCAUGCCACUUCGAGAAAAUGGACAGUUAAUUAUUAGCACAUGUACUGAUU